AACGAACGCUGGCGGCAGGCUUAACACAUGCAAGUCGAACGCACCUUCGGGUGAGUGGCGCACGGGUGAGUAACGCGUGGGAACGUACCUUUUAGUUGGGAAUAGCUCCGGGAAACUGGAAUUAAUACCCGAUACGCCCCCCUUUCAAAACCAAGAAGUCAAAAACAACCUGUUGUUUUUGAUGGGGGGGAAAGAUUUAUCGCUAAAAGAUCGGCCCGCGUGAGAUUAGAUUGUUGGUGGGGUAAUGGCCUACCAAGUCUACGAUCUCUAGCUGGUCUGAGAGGAUGAUCAGCCACACUGGAACUGAGACACGGUCCAGACUCCUACGGGAGGCAGCAGUGGGGAAUAUUGGACAAUGGGCGAAAGCCUGAUCCAGCCAUGCCGCGUGAGUGAUGAAGGCCCUAGGGUUGUAAAGCUCUUUUAUCCGGGAAGAUGAAGACGGUACCGGAAGAAUAAGCUCCGGCUAACUUCG
rnacentral:rRNA from 1 species